UGAAAGACAGGGACCUAGUGUUGGAGU
rnacentral:piRNA from 1 species